rnacentral:lncRNA from 1 species
AAACAUAGACAAAAUAUCAAGACACAUGCAUACACACUUAUUCCCAAAUUCAAUAACCAAACAUAGACAAAAUAUCAACACACACACACACACACAAACUCUCUCUCUCUCUCUCUCUCUCUCUCUCUCUCUCUUAUUCCCAAAUUCAAUAACCAAACAUAGACAAAAUAUCAAGACACACACACAUACACACUCUUAUUCCCAAAUUCAAUAAUCAAACAUAGACAAAAUAUCAACACACACACACGUGACAAGUAUGCUCAAUUAGAUAUAUUUUUGUUUUUUUCCUCCUUUUUUUCUUUAGUACUAACAUCACGAAGAUCGUCAGUCAAACAUAGACAAAAUAUCAACACACACACACACACGUGAUAAGUAUGCUCAAUUAGAUAUAUUUUUGUUUUUCUCCUUUUUUUUCUUUAGUACUAACAUCACGAAGAUCGUCAGUCACCACCUUCCUCAUAAUUACUAUUCCACAUAUCAACGCUACCAUCAAUUGUUCUUCCACCGUGCCCAUGUGAAGUGAAUUUGCUGUCUGGCUGUGUCUCUGCAUCACUAUCCUUUCCAAGCAAAUCAACAUUAUCCUAAUUAGCAAUUCCAUCAUGAUCGUUGAGGUCAAAAUCUCCUGCAGCAUCUUUCCAUCAGAAUAUGCCUGGAUUCCAUGUCAUCAAUCUCCCCUCUUCUUCACUAUCAUCACUUGCAUGCGACAAAAGAUCAUCUGUGCCCAAAUCACUUCGUGCGGCCUUUCUCAUUAAGACUUUGGCUUCUUCAAUGUGCAUGUUCUGCUCAUGUAGAAUCUAUGGAAGACAUCUUCUGGGAGGCAAUUCAUCCCCUGCUAGCUGUAGAAUCUCAUCGCCAAUUAGAUGAUGCUCAUGUCGAUUUACAAAAAAGCAAAAGUUCAGCUUGGUUGCUUGAAUUUCAAUGUCCGGUGCACUAAAUGUAUAAAACUCAUACAAUUAUAUGAGACAUAAGAACCACAAAAGAUAGGCAAAUUAAAGGAUCAACACAAAAGGUUGAAACCUGAAAGUACUUAGUAGCCAAUGGUGGGCAUGGAUCACCCUGCCUGGAUACCCUGCUGUCACAGUAUGUGUUACCAACCAACACAUGUCCCCAGGCUAGAGCAACAGUUCUGGCAAAAAUAUAGUAUAUCUAGCCUUGUAAUUGAAUAAAAAUGUUUGAGUUCAAUUAUUGAGUUGAAUUUAAAUAAUAAGCCACAGCUAAUUUGUGUUAUUCAUAAAUAACAAGCUAAGAGAACUUCGCCUAUUAAUCAAAGUGACAACUGAUUUAUCUGGGUGGAGGGCAAUGGUUUCUAUCUAAGUUGAUAAUCAUUUGGCUUGAGUGGACCAAGCCAAAUUAGAUAUGAUUUUUUAUUAAUUAGUUACAACUGAAUCUGAACUAUAUCUAAUAAGUUCAACAAGACAAGAUUUAACCAUGGAGACUUGGCUAGAUUUAUGAAUGACAAAGACAAUAGGGGUAAUGACAUGUAUGUUUAGGCUAUCUUGAAUGGUACUAAUAUUUUCUAGGUUCAAGAUUGAUUAUGAAUGUGACACCUUUUGCAGGCAUAUAUUAUGGUAUGUAUUAGUUUAGUAGUCUAUUCAGUCUGGCUACACUCUGACCUUGCCAAUGCAUGUUAAAAGUUGGCAUAUUCUAGAAGUAGUCUCUUUGGUUUCUCACAGAGGAUAAGUGUGUUGCAUAGCCCAAGGUGAUUAAAUAUUGAUUCUGAACCUUGUUAUAGAGAUAAAUGUGGCCGAAAUCAUUGGGACUUCUGUGAUACCCAUUUGAUAUGUUACUUCUUGUGUUUUUAGAUACUAAAUGCACUCAAAAUAUAGUAGAAUCUAGUUGAACUUGAUUGUACUAACAACUGUUUUAUAAAUUUUGUAAUAAAAAAAAAACAACUGUUGUCUAAAUCCUUAACAAUAGUGAACUCAAAAAGGUGACACUGAUUUCUGCAAUAAUUCUGAAAAUAAUUUAACAUAUGCGUAGGCAAAUAUGAAUUCUGGCCUUGCAUUCCAUAGGGUGCUUGGUCCUUAAUUGCACUGGCGCAAUAAAAUUUAGUGGUAUUUGAGCUGUAAGUAUGAUAUAGUGGUAAUGAAAACUAUGCUAUAUAAAGAGGUAGAUAUAAGAAAUUUAAGAAGCACUUGUUUGCAUUUGAAGAUUUAUUCUUCUUGUAUCUUUAAUCUUUAUAUUUUGUUUAGAGGUCAAAGAGAAAACGAAUGCCAUCAGUAGAGAAGACAUAAUCCCUCAGGUUCUCAUCAGGGUUAGAGCUCAGGUGAGUAAAAAAUUAAAAUAUUCAAUAAUCAACUUGUAAAAAAUAUAACACAAAACAGGUAAUAUGCAAGCACUGAAUAAAUUGCAUGUUGCACCAUCAGGAGAGAAGAGAUAUCCCUCAGCUUCUCAUCAGGGUUAUAGAUCAGUUGGCUAAACAAAGAGGCAAAAUACUCAGCAAUCAACUAAUAAAGUAUACAAUAGAGAACAAGUUAGAUGCAAGCACUCUAAUAAAUACAAUGCUGAAAAGGACUUUAGGUAGCCUUCUUUGUGGCUAGCAAGGACGUAAAAUUGUUUGAACACCAAAAGAUAAAGCCUCAAUGAGACAGAAAGUCUAAUACGGUGCCCUCACCAAGCUCCACCAAAACGCACAGAUAAUGCUGGAGGCAGAACCCAAAAGUCAGCAUCCGGGAAAGCUUAUGCCAUGAUACAAGAUGCGGAUCAAAUAUCUAUCACUUAUUUGCCAUGCAUUAUUAAUAUCUUUGACAUAUGUUCGUAAUCUAAUAAACGCUUCUAAAUAUGCAUGCUGAUGAGGGUAAUAUGCAUGCAUGCUGAUGAGCCGUGUCCCUCGACCGUAGACUGCCCGAGUCCACCUCAGCGUGGCCUGCCCACCUGAGCCGUGUCCCUCGGCCGCAGUCUGCCCGAGACCACCUCAGCGCAACCUGCCCGCCUGAGCCGUGUCCCUCGGCCGUAGACUACCCGAGUCCACCUUAGCGCGGCCUGAGCCGUGUCCCUCGUCCGUAGUCUGCCCGAGACCACCUCAGCACGGCCUGCCCGCCUGAGCCGUGUCCCUCGGCCUGAGUCGUGUCCCUCGACCGUAGACUGCCCGAGUCCACCUCAGCGCGGCCUGCCCGCCUGAGUCGUGUCCCUCAGCCGCAGUCUGCCCGAGACCACCUCAACGCGGCUUGCCCGCCUGAGCCGUGUCCCUCGGCCGUAGACUGCCCGAGUCCACCUCAGCGCGGCCUGAGCCGUGUCCCUCGGCCGCAGUCUGCUCGAGACCACCUCAGCGCGGCCUGCCCGCCUGAGCCGUGUCCCUCGGCCUAAGCCGUGUCCCUCGACCGUAGACUGCCCGAGUCCACCUCAGUGCGGCCUGCCCGCCUGAGCCGUGUCCCUCGACCGCAGUUUGCCCGAGACCACCUCAACGCGGCCUGCCCGCCUGAGCCGUGUCCCUCGGCCGUAGACUGCCCGAGUCCACCUCAGCGCGGCCUGCCCGCCUGCGUCGUGCUCCUCAGCCGCGUGUUGCCCGAGACCACACCUGCGCAGCCUGCCCGCCUGCUUCGUGCUCCUCGGCUCCAUGCUCCCCGAGACCACGCCUGUGCGGCCAGCCCGCCUGCGUCGUGCUCCUCGGCUCCAUGCUCCCCGAAACCACAACCUCUGCUCGACCUGCUCUACUGAGCGUGCUCCUCGGCCGCACACUACCCGGAGUCACCGCUGCACAUCCAACCCUUCUUAGUUGCUAAACUCCACGAUUCCCACACCCCUGGCAACGGACCGGCAAAACGCCCGAUUGGGACAGUUUCUCAAAGCCGUAGCCAUGCCUCGGACUCCCGUUACAACGAAAGACGCAUAUCUUCCUUCGGGGGGGGGGAAUAUGAUGAGGGUAAUAAUGGCGACAAGACUCGGGUUGACGUCAGCUGCCCCAGAUAACGCCUCGACUGACCUGACACCACCUAGUCAAAUGGACCCGAACGCCGAUUGAGGCACAUUAAACAUCCUGCUCAGGCGCGGUCUUUCACGCCACGCCAACACCAGUGUCAGACGCUACCAGCCUGCCCCCUGCAAGCGGGCACAUCAGGAAACAGUAAGCUUCCCUAUAAAUACCCUCGCAUUCUGAACGGGAAGAGGGGGGGGGAAACACAAACAAAAAAGACUUCUUCAUCUGAAACCCCCUUUACCAUCAUCUGACUUGAUCAUCGGAGGGGUCGGGGCGAGCACCCCGACCCGACCUUUGUGCAGGUGCGAAGCCGAAGGUCCCCACCGGACGUGCAGACGAGGAGUUUUUGCCCGGAGGAAACGGCGACCCCGUCCCGAUCGGACCACCGUAAUCGACCACCUCAGCCGUCUCAAGGACCGCCCAGGGAGAUCUCCGUCAUCCGGACCCGAACCGAGCCGCGUCGGCCCCGAGGCCACGGCUCAAAGUUGUUUACACCAACACAUGCCUUAAGAAAAACCUCAAUAUACUACAACAACUAACUUAAGAUGAUAGCUUGACCGAAUGCCUAUAACUAAAACAUGCAGCAAUACAUAUAAAAAUGACUACCAAAUAUAAUGCCAUACCACUUUAGAUGGUACGAUAUAAUUCAAAAUUUAAGGAAAACAUCAUUAUCACAUAGAAAUUGUUUAUGAUGUUAUAAGAUAACACCACAAGAUCAAUGCAAACCAAUAGUUCAUAUUUUUUCAAUUUCCAAGGGAUAAUAUAACAAGAAACCAAUCCCAAAAAACUUGAUCAUUAGCAGAGUGCUAUAAUAGGUUCCAAUGAUAAGCAUCAGCUUCACAAUCAGCUUCAUUAUAUGAAUAAAUUUCAGUUCAUAUUCAUCUUCACAAGGAAAUCAAAUUAAGGUCAAACAUAACAACAUAUUGUAAAUCAAUCUAUUAUAAAGUUUAACCCCAUACUAGAUAUCUACCUACAUCAACAUGAACACUACAUGGUCCUCAAAUUUAUUGGAGGCAAAAAGCUUGCUAAAUUGAUUGAGCAUACAACAAGGAAAAAAGAAAGAUUAAAACAUGUCUUCAGCAAACAAAUGAAAAAUAAAUAACAUAUUCUAGAUUGAAUGAACAAAAACAUCGAAUGGUAGCAAAAGAGAUAACUGAAAAUAAGACGAGCAUAAAUGACAAAAGAAAGUUUAUAGAAAUGGCGGAAAAUUAAAGAAAUAGAUUGAAACAUAGGAGCCAGACAGAAACAUGAGAAUGGCAACACAAACAAGAGGCAUCUCUAUCUCUUGAAAUGAUCAGCUUAUAUUGGAGACCGAUCCAACUCCUAGUGGGAGUUAACUAAUGAGAAGCCUUUUAGCUGUCUCCCAUUGAAAUAAAUGUACACUUUUAAAUAAACAAUAUGUGCUUCUCUUUGUUUCUUCCUUUAACCUUGAGGAUAUUUUUUGUUGCUUAUAGCAUUUGAAAAUGUCUAACAAACUGUUCAAGAUUCUCCAUAAUUCAAAAAAUUAUAUUUCCUCAUAUUCAAGAUUCCUUUUAGUUGUAAAGGCUCAUGUUCAUAAUGCAUAUACAAGGAAAAUCAAGGUUUUAAAUGUCAGCUUGGCACCGAUUAUGAUAAUAGGUUGGACAAAAAUGGAACCAAU